ACAAGACCUAAUGCACUGAUGGAAAGACAAGUCAGCCUGAAAGCAAGAAUGCAAAAUAGAUCGGCCACACCAGACAACACAGAAGAAGCGUAAAGACAACCAAAAAAACAGGGGGGGAAAAACCGCACGGCGGCCGGCGACAGACAUGAAACUCAUCUCCCCUCCUGCCCCCUCCCCUUUCAUCUUUGCAAAGCAAAGCAUCGAAUCCACCGAUGCCAAGUUGGCGCAUUCCAGAAAGGAUGGAUGCGAGGCAGAAACAAGGGGCCUCGCCCUCCCCCUUCGCGCCCCCUUUUCUUUCCCAUCCCAGAGACUGCCCGCUUCCUAAGUAACAGAGAAGAGGCAAGAUUCCCUUCUCUCCACCUUUCGGAAGCGCCCCAGAGUCGACGGACGCUCGCUGAAAGGCUGCCCAAAGCUACCCGCAAGUGACCAAGAGAGGCAUUUUUGGAAGCCGCUCGUCCCAGCCCGCCCAGCCUCCUCUCUCCAUUGUUCAGGCUGAAGCAGGGAUUUCUGAAGAGGCGCGGAUCGAGGAACACACCCUUUCUUCUCGAGCCUCAGCAGGCCGCUUUCUUCGGCCAGUUUCGGGGCGAAGCCCUAGCUUAAAGCUGCGGGAGGCUCUCGGCGAACAAAGACUUUCUUGUCGUAGCAACAGGGAGAAGGUAAUGGGGAGCCGCUUACCUCCAAAGCUCCCGCUGUCCAAGAGGCUCCCAGGAGCAGAAAAGCUAAAUGCGGCAGCAUCGCGGGCAAAAGCAGCAGCUAAGGACGCUGGAGCUCAGGCACUAGUUUUAAAAUAUAUACGGAGACAGCUGAAAGAUAUCCGCCCAGUCGCCUCGCUUCGCCUCCUCGCUCUGCUGAGGAAUGAAAACCGAGCUGCAAGAGCAGCAGCAGCAGCGUUAGCGGAGCUUCGGAAAGGAGAAGGAGAGUCAGCUGAUACUCCAACCCGCCCAAAGCGGCGGCGACGGCGGCAGCAGUAGCAGCAGGCCGGUCCUUCGCAGAGGCCUCCUAGCGACCGGACUGCGCAACUGCAACUGCCAUCGUUUGAUUCCUGAAAGCCCCGGCCGGGAAAAAGCGAAAAGGGAGGAGCGGAAGGGUCUCUGCGUGAGGCGGUAUCGGCCACAGUCUCGUAUUUGUUUCUGGCGCAGCAGGCGAUGGAGCGGGAUGUAGAGCUAGGUCUGAGCGAUCUCGAACAUUAUUCAGUUUAAUCGGUUUAUGGCGUUCAGAAUUGCCCCUGCCCCAGAUCAGAAGGAUUGCAGAAACGAAAAUCGAUUUUAAGAUGGAAGGAUCCUAAAAUGAACUUUGUUUAGUUCUGAUGUCAUCAUCAAGCAGGGAUCAGGAGUUUUUAAAUAUAUUACUUCGGUCA